GACAGCUACCUAAAACCAUUGCUUCACACCGAGCCGACCUACUUCCCAAAACUUUUUCAAUUUCAGUUUACUGAAUAAUUUUUUCUUGCUGAAACUAGAAGAAGGGAGCAAGCGGCAGAAGAUUAUGAUGUUGCUGCUAUUGGGAGACGCAGUAAAAUAUGGACAAGUUCCUGUAUUUUAUGGAAGGUGUAGUAUUGAAGCUUCUUGCACUGAUCUAGAAUGGAUCUUGACUUCGCCCAAGAGUGAGCGCAUGUUACAUAAGAAAUCAUUAUCUCUGAAGCAUACUCACAUUGGACCAAGAACUAGGCGAGGUUCAGACUUCAGAGAAAUGAUAACAAGUCUCCUUUUCAUUCGAGCGGGGCGAUGAGGGAAAGAACUGGUUGUGGUGAAAGUCAGUUUAGUGCAUCAAGG